CCGGCGCCGGGGCUGGCAGCGCGAGCCGAAGCCGGACGCAGGCCGGGCGGAAGCGGGCCCGGGGGGCUGGGGCGGCGGGAGCGCGGGUGGGCGUUUAAAGGCGCCUUCGGCACCCGGUUCGGUUCGCCGCCGGGACUGCUGAUGCAUUCUGCCAUCUCCCUACCCCAUCGCGGUGCCCAGCCAUGGCCAGACCUCCCGUGCUCGGUUCGGUGGUUGUCCCAAACUGGCACGAGAGUGCCGAGGGCAAGGAGUACCUGACUUGCAUUCUGCGCAAGAACCGCCGGCGGGUGUUUGGGCUGCUUGAGCGGCCAGUGCUGCCACCACCUGUGUCCAUUGACACUGCCAGCUACAAAAUCUUCGUGUCCGGGAAGAGUGGUGUGGGCAAGACGGCGCUGGUGGCCAAGCUGGCUGGCCUGGAGGUGCCUGUGGUACACCACGAGACCCCCGGCAUCCAGAGCACCGUGGUAUUUUGGCCAGCCAAGCUGCAGGCCAGCGACCGUGUCGUCAUGUUUCGGUUUGAGUUCUGGGACUGUGGAGAGUCUGCACUCAAAAAGUUCGAUCACAUGCUGCCGGCUUGCAAGGAGAACACGGAUGCUUUCCUCUUCCUUUUCUCCUUCACUGACCGUGCCUCCUUUGAAGACCUCCCUGGACAGCUGGCCCGCAUAGCAGGUGAGGCCCCUGGUGUCAUCAGGAUGGUCAUCGGCUCCAAAUUUGACCAGUAUAUGCACACAGACGUGCCCGAGCGGGACCUCAUAGCCUUCCGGCAGGCCUGGGAGCUGCCCCUGCUACGGGUGAAGAGUGUGCCAGGGCGGCGGCUGGCUGAUGGGCGCACGUUGGACGGGCGGGCUGGGCUGGCUGACAUUGCUCACAUACUCAAUGGCCUCGCUGAGCAGCUGUGGCACCAAGACCAGGUGGCGGCUGGCCUGCUUCCCAGCCCCCCAGAGAGUACUCCUGGAUGAAUCACGAGUGGGUGCCUGUGAUCCCGCCCCCAACCCUCAGAAUUCAUGGCAUGGAGAUGGGGACCGAGAUCCUGAGCUCGGACAUCUUUUCAUGGCCUCUCCCCCUUUUGGCAGCACCCAUGGCAGGUGACAGGGAGAUGGGGUGCCUCUCAAGUGACUUCAAUCAAGAACCUGUAUUGGUAGAGGUGACACCAUCUGUUGUAACAGAUAAACACCGAACUUCCAGUGCUGAACUCCAUAGACCUGUUAGUUCUUGCAUUGGCUUCAGGAGGAGGUGACAGUGGGUGUGGGGCCCUGCUCCAGGUGCUUCUGCAGAGACCCAGCCCCAGAGAUCCUGCCCAGUUGCCCCAGGGCAUCAGCACCCAGUCAGCAGCCAGGGAGACCAUGAUGGCGCCGCGGACAGGAACCCGGACGACGCCUGUAUCUGUGCUCCGCGCCCUGCGGCAGCAUUUAUAUCCUGGACUCCAGGGGCAACGUUUUCUGAGACAGGAAAACCUACGUUGGUGAGACUUGGGCCACACAGGACUUUUGUCCCACCUCACCCAGAAGGCCGGAGUGGCCAGGCCACAGGCUCUUCUUUAAGCCCCCUCUCCCCUCCCCAAGAAUCCCGCAGCAUCCCUUGUCUUUUUCUUGCAAUGGGCAGUUCGUUUUUCGAACUAACCCUAAUACCUUUUGCUACAACUCAAUUUUCCUUUAAUGUUGGCCUUAGUGGGACUGAUAGACUCACACCCCCCUUGCCGCCCAGUUGAAAGUGGGCCAGACCCGGGCCAGACCGUUCCCUAACUGUCCCCCCGCGCCCGCAAUGGGGCGGACUUCGCGCUCGCCUGGAGAAGCUGCGACCCCUGUGGCGGCGGCAGAGACGGGGACUCCGGCAACGAAGCUGGCGCGAGAAGCUUCAGCAGGACCUGGAGGAGGUGAGUGCGGCGCCGGCGGGCUGCGGCUCCCGACACCGAGAGCAGACGCCCCAGGCCAGCUCUGAGACCCGCCCCGGCGCCUUCGGCAGCUCAUCUGUGAAAUGGGUUUGUCCAUAGUGUCAGCCCCGUGCAGGGGCUGUGACGGUUACAGGGACGAAGUGUGUAGAGCGCUCAGCCCAGGGCCUGGCACAUUAGAGGUGCCCAAGAAAGGGGCGAGAUCAGUCACUAUACGACGCGGCCCACCCGGCGUCUGUCUCUUCGUUUGAAAAACGAGGGUGUUCGGUUUCCUUGUUUGAAAUGUAAACGAGGAAACGCAUGUCACAGCUCUUUUGAAGGCGGAAAGGACCCACGCGAAAAAUGGGAUCUGUCACCUCCCGGCCGAGAUCGGGAGCGGAGGGGCUUGGGGGUCCCUCACUCUCCUCUCCCGGGAGAGCAGCGCCGCGUAACGCCGCAGCCCGUCGGGAGCUGAGCGCGCCUGGGAGCCGCAGCGCUUCGCCGAGGAACCGAACCUGCGCGCGCCGCCGCAGGUGGAGGGGCGGGGCGGGGUCCGCCCGGGGCGGAGUCACCCCAGGAGCCGUAAUCCUGACCUUGACCCGAGGCCCGGCCAACCCCGGCUCGGAAGGCUGGGCGGAGCCAGGGCGGCGCCGGCCCCUGAGCAACCCUCGGCCGCAGAACGUGCCCAGCCGGCCGCAGGACUCCUGCAGGUGCGACCUCCGGAGCUCGGAGCCCGACAGGUGAGACGGGACGGCGCCUCGGGUGGGCGGGGUCUGCCCGCGGAGAGGCUAGCAGUCCGCAGAAGCCUUAGCCCAACCAAGGCUGAUUUACCCCUCCUUCCAGCACCUCAGAGGCAACUCCCGCUUCACUCGCUUUAGAUCUCUGGGCCUGUCCUUUCCGCAAACUGGGGCCCCGGCCCUGCCUCCCAGUCCUGAUUCCCACCUGUUCAAUCCGCUCUGAUGCUCACCUGACGAAUACACCCAGCCCAGGCUGCGCUCUGCGGGCAGAAGGGUUCUCUGGCAGUAGCAGCUGGCAUGUCUCACCUGCCUGUCUUCAACGGAGAGGCUCUGGAUUCUCGUAGCAUUAGGUUUCAGAUUGGGUGGAAGAGUGGGCUUCUGACCCCUGCUCCUCUCAUAGAUUCCUGGGCAGGGAUUCCUGUGACUGCUACUUCUCCAACAUGUGCAGGCACCGAUUGGUGAGAUGGCUGCUUGGGGCGAGUCCAGCUGGGACCUUAAGCGGGCAGAGGUGACACCAGGACUCCUCUGGCAAGUGGCAGAGAUCCUGGCCCCACGCCUCUCCAGGAAGAAGAAACACAGAAAUGGGCAUUGCCCGCCUGCUGGCAGAGGGAGUCUACACCGCAGCCUUCCCAUUGCACGAGGGAGAGAUGUCCCAAGCUCAGAUCUCUCCCAGGCCUAAGGGCAUGGCAGCGGUGGCUGGGGCAUCCGGAGAGCACCCUCAAACCCCCCUGCAGCUCUCCCUCUUUUUGUCCCCCUAGGGCCCCUUUGAACUGCCUGGGUACCAGGGACCCGGUUCAGAUCUCAACUCUUGCCAAUUGCUGUGCCCAUACUGGGCUUACUGGGGAUACUGGUAUAACUACCGGCCCCUGGACCACAUAUGAGAGUACUUUGGGGAGAAGGUGGUCAUCGAUUUUGCCUGGCUAGGUUUCUACAUGGCUUGGCUGCUGCCUGUCAGCCUGGUAGGCACCUUGGUCUUUAUCUCUGGACUUGUCACCAUGGGGACCAACACACUAGUGUGGGUGGCUGCGGAAGGGUUGGGGAAUGGGCUGGGUGGGCCAGGUCAUCUGCCUGGUUGAGGAAAGGCCCUCUCAGGAUGGGCACCCUCUGCUCACAGAGAGGAGGUCUGUGUCAGUGGGGGUGCCACUCUGUGAUACCUGUGCCACAUGGAAUAUUUCCGGGAUCUGCUCCAUGGCCAAGGUGGGCCAGCGAAAGGGGCAAAAAAACCAGGUAGGUGUUUUGGGCCCAACCUGGGCCUGGAUGCUGGCCCUACAAUGUGCCCUCUCACCCCUUCUCGCAGCCGAGCUGCCUCUUUGACCACCCUGGAACUGUGUUCUUCGGCAUCUUCCUGGCCUUCCUGGAGCGCUGGAAGUGGGCAGUGCCACCUUGGCCCACCACCAGCACUGCAGUGACUUCCAGGACCAGGAAGUGAUACCCAGCUCAGCCCUCCAGGCCCACAACCCCACUUCCCAGAGUUCUCAGAGGCCAUAAGGUGUGCUGGGAAGAGCUCAGGCUUUGGAGUCCAGCAUCCCAGGAUCCAAAUCUGGCUUCUCCUCACACUUUUCCUGGGUCAUCUUCCACCCUUCUCUGACAUCAGGAUGAUAUAGGCUGGGUGACGUGAAACAUUAGGAGUAUUUAGAUGAUCAGCUGGGCCUUGGAGAGAGACCCUCCCUAGAACCGAGAAGGAGAAAACAUUCCACCUGCCCCCCCUACCCAUCCAGCUACCUACCUGUCUAUCCAAACAUCUAAUCAUUGAUUCUGAAUCUGUUCACUUCUCACUACUUCCUCUGCCACACCCCAGCCCUCCCCACUCCAGUCCAAGUCACAUUUCCUCUUUCCUGGACAGCAGUGACCUCCUAGCAGGUCUCCUUGCCCCACUUAAUUGGUUCUCAGCUGCCAGGAGGGUGACAUCCUGUGUUACCUUCCUCAAAGCCUUCCAGGACAAUCUCAUUUGAGAUGUACCUGGGAAACCAUCCAACCCCCUCACAGUGGCCUACAAGGCCUUGUGUCAUCUGGCCUGUGGCUGGUUCUCCCCCACUGGCUCGACCAGAUCCUCGAAUAGGUCAAGUUCAUUUCCACCCUGGGGCCUUGGCAUUGGCUAUGCUCCCUGCCAGAAUCCUCUU